GACAAACGCUGGCGGCGUGCUUAACACAUGCAAGUCGAGCGGUAAGGCCUUUCGGGGUACACGAGCGGCGAACGGGUGAGUAACACGUGGGCGACCUGCCCUCAGCUCUGGGAUAAGCCUGGGAAACUGGGUCUAAUACCGGAUAUGACCACAUGUCGCAUGGUGUGCGGUGGAAAGUUUUUCGGCUGGGGAUGGGCCCGCGGCCUAUCAGCUUGUUGGUGGGGUGAUGGCCUACCAAGGCGACGACGGGUAGCCGGCCUGAGAGGGCGACCGGCCACACUGGGACUGAGAUACGGCCCAGACUCCUACGGGAGGCAGCAGUGGGGAAUAUUGCGCAAUGGGCGAAAGCCUGACGCAGCGACGCCGCGUGGGGAUGACGGCCUC
rnacentral:rRNA from 1 species